rnacentral:rRNA from 1 species
AUACGGAGGGAGCAAGCGUUAUUCGGAAUCACUGGGCGUAAAGGACGCGUAGGCGGGUUUGUAAGUCAGGUGUGAAAUCCUACAGCUCAACUGUAGAACUGCACUUGAAACUACAGACCUAGAGUAUGGAAGGGGCAGAUGGAAUUAGUGGUGUAGGGGUAAAAUUCGUAGAUAUCACUAGGAAUACCGAAAGCGAAGGCGAUCUGCUGGGACAUUACUGACGCUGAGGCGUGAAAGCGUGGGGAGCAAACAGGAUUAGAAACCCCAGUAGUCC